rnacentral:tRNA from 1 species
GGGCCGGUAGCUCAAAGGUAGAGCACUCGACUUGCACUCGAGAGGUUGAGGGUUCGAGUCCCUCCCGGUCCA